rnacentral:rRNA from 1 species
UUCGGAUUGUAGUCUGUAACCCGACUACAUGAAGCUGGAAUCGCUAGUAAUCGCGGAUCAGAAUGCCGCGGUGAAUACGUUCCCGGGUCUUGUACACACCGCCCGUCACACCAUGGGAGUCGGAAAUGCCCGAAGUCUGUGACCCAACCUUAGGGAGGGAGCAGCCGAAGGCAGGUCGGAUGACUGGGGUGAAGUCGUAACAAGGUAAC